GCAAGUCGAGCGAAGUUUUUAUUAACUUAGCGGCGGACGGGUGAGUAACACGUGGGAACUUGCCCUUUAGUCAGGAUUAACUCAUGGAAACGUGAGCUAUUACCGGUUACACCCUUCGGGGGAAAGAUUUAUCGCUAAAGGAUCGGCCCGCGGUGGAUUAGGUAGUUGGUGAGGUAAAAGCUCACCAAGCCGACGAUCCAUAGCUGGUUUGAGAGGAUGAUC
rnacentral:rRNA from 1 species